rnacentral:misc_RNA from 1 species
AAAGUCGUAACAAGGUUUCCGUAGGUGAACCUGCGGAAGGAUCAUUAGAAGGUUCGGUUGAAGACUUCCGGCUCCCUGAGAAGGGGGACGGUCGUCCUCUCCAAUCCAUCAAAACCAAUCUGUGAAACCGCCUCUUUGCUUCGGCAGCUGGACGUCAGUCCGUCAGCCUGUCGAUAGCUCCCAACCAAAACUAAUUCUUUGUUAAACGUUCCAUGUCUGAAGUUACUUAAAUAUAAACAAGUUAAAACUUUCAACAACGGAUCUCUUGGUUCUC